UACGGAAGGCAGCAGUGGGGAAUAUUGCACAAUGGGCGCAAGCCUGAUGCAGCCAUGCCGCGUGUAUGAAGAAGGCCUUCGGGUUGUAAAGUACUUUCAGUCGUGAGGAAGGUGUUAAGGUUAAUAACCUUAGCAAUUGACGUUAGCGACAGAAGAAGCACCGGCUAACUCCGUGCCAGCAGCCGCGGUAAUACGGAGGGUGCGAGCGUUAAUCGGAAUUACUGGGCGUAAAGGGCACGCAGGCGGUUAAUUAAGUUGGAUGUGAAAUCCCCGGGCUUAACCUGGGAAUGGCAUUCAAGACUGGUUAGCUAGAGUCUUGUAGAGGGGGUAGAAUUCCAUGUGUAGCGGUGAAAUGCGUAGAGAUGUGGAGGAAUACCGGUGGCGAAGGCGGCCCCGUGGACAAACGACUGACGCUCAUGUGCGAAAGCGUGGGGAGCAAACAGGAUUAGAUACC
rnacentral:rRNA from 1 species